GGGUUGUGAGGUUAAGCGACUAAGCGUACACGGUGGAUGCCCUGGCAGUCAGAGGCGAUGAAGGGCGUGCUAAUCUGCGAUAAGCGCCGGUAAGGUGAUAUGAACCGUUAUAACCGGCGAUACCCGAAUGGGGAAACCCAGUGUGAUUCGUCACACUAUCAUUAACUGAAUCCAUAGGUUAAUGAGGCGAACCGGGGGAACUGAAAC
rnacentral:rRNA from 1 species